rnacentral:lncRNA from 1 species
GAUAACUAAAGUUGUACUAUGGUGUAGUGGUUUCAAGCUGUGCCUCAUUUUUGCUUUGAACGGCAUGGGUUCGAAACCAGCUACACCAUUUUACCUUGUUUUUUUUUUUUCCUUUUCGUUUUUUUUCUUUAGUUUUUUUGUUUUCAUUUUUUUUUCCUUUUUCCGGUUUUUUUUGCUUUUUAUAUCCUUUUUCGUUUUGUUUUUUUUUUUCUUCAGUUUUUUUUGCUUUUAUUUUUGCUUUUCGUUAGCUCCUUUAUUUUCUUCUAUUUUUCUGUUUAAUUUUUUAUUUUCAACACUUUUUUUUCUAUUUUCUUCAUUUUUUUUAAUAUUACCUUUAUUCAUAUUAAUAGUUAUUUAAAUGUAUACAUUGUUUCACUGUAAAAAUUACUUUUGGUUACAAUAAGUUAUACUUUCUCUGAACCUAUUAUAUGUUAUCUUAAUUGAAGUUUUAUUAAUUAAAAUGUUUACAUUGUAUAAAUGUAAAUUUUACUUUUCUAUACAACAAAUAAUACAUUUACUGAAUGUAUGAUAUUUUGUUGUUAUUGAAGAUUUAUUGUUAUUGUUAUUGCCUUUUGUUUUAGUAAUAAUGAUGACACAUAAUGUUGAUGAAACAAAUGAUGAUACAAACACUGCGGGUUCUGAUUCACCAACUUAAAAUGUUGAUUCAUCAAGUGUGAAUACUAAAUCCAAAAGGAAAUAUUCUUUUUAUUUAUCCUAAUAUAUACAUUAUUGUGCAUAAAUGUAUGCCGAUGUGAAUAUAAAUAUUACCAAUCAUUCAAUAUUUUGUAAACCCUAAACACUGAAUACUAAACCCUAACCAUUCAAUAAUAAAUCCAAAUGAUAAUAUUUAAUUUUAUUUUAUCUAAGAUAUAUAUUUCCAUGCUUAAAUGUAUACUUAUGUGAAUAUAAAUAUUAAUCAUCAUUCAAUAUUUUUUAAACCUAAACACGGAAUACUAAACCCUAAACACUGAAUACUAAACCCUANGCGCCUGCGCAGCGUGCUUAAUUGCGCACGGCGCAGCAUAGACACACCCAUUGCAUCCCCUAAAAUACCGUCUAUCCUUCACUGUACUAGGUAGAUUCUCAUGGAAGACAAAGCUAUAUUUAUAUAAUUUCUACUGGGAAAUACUUUGUUCGUCCCACUCCAAUAGACUCACUUUUUUUGGACAAGAAAAUUAAAAAAAUUUACUUUUUAGUAGAAAAGUGAUAGUAAAGUGGUGUGGUCCACACCAAUUAAGAUAAUUUUUUUACUAAAAAGGAAAUGAGCUUAUUGGAGUGGAACAUCCCAAAAAGAAAAAUGAGCCUAUUGGAGUGGGACGGAGGGAAUACUAAUUUUUUAAAACAUAUAGUAUAUAAUUUCUGCUGGGAAAUAAUUACUACUUAUGUCGUCUCGAUUCAAUAGAUGACAAAGUUUGGACAUGAAUAUUAAAAAACGAAUAAUUUAUAAUAAAAUAUAAAAAAAAUAUUUUUUUAAGAAUAUAUUUGUCCAAAAAAUAGAAGUUCGAAAUGAAGAUAUUAUUUUAUAAAUGAAAGAAGAGAUAAUUAUGUCAUCUACUAUAGAGAGUCAAGGUGGGCUCUUAAAUGUGGUCCCCAUCAUUUAAGAGACGAUCCUCCACUAUGGAAGAGCCACACCUCCAACUCUUAAAUUUUGAUUUUGAUUUUAUAUUUAUUUUAAUGUUUACUUUCAAUUAAUUUUAACACUAUAUUUAAUAAUAUAAAUUUCAUUAAAAUUAAAAUUAAUAGAAGCAUCUCAAUUUAUAGAAUAGUGUAGAAAAAAUAUAAAAGACAAACAUCUUAAAUUUAUAGAAGCAAGUUUGAAGAUAACAAAAUUAAAAAUUUAAAGGGGGGGGGGAGGAGGUAAAGAGCCGUUUUUACAACGGUUGUCUGACCAAAGUAGCCGUUUCCCAACAAUUUUGAUUUUUUUUUUAAUUUUCAAAAUUAUGCACGCGCCCAACAAAAAUGGGCUCUCCUGGGAUGGAGUAAGUACUAUUUAAUAUUUUCUUUGUCCCGUCCUGUUAAAAGUAGCUUUUUUUUUCGAUAAUGAAAUUAAGAAAAAAGUGUAAAUUGAGAAAAAGUUGUAGGACCCACGUAUUCUCAAAGGUUAAUUAUUGUCUUUUAUAGAAUGGGCUACUUUCAGUGAGAAUGACCAAAAUAAAAAACGAGUCACUUUUAGCAGGACAGAUGGAGUAGUAUUUCGUAGGUAUAUAUAUAUAUAUAUAUAUAUAGAGAAAGAUAAAUAUUCAAUUGAGAAAUGCAAAUAUAUUAAAAAGGGAUGGACUUGCAUGUGGGAGUCCGCAUCCUAUGUGGCCGGGUCAGGUCCGUCCUGACCCGACCCGUUUUGAACGUAUGUAUAUUAGGUUUGAGAAAUGAUAACUAAAGUUGUACUAUGGUGUAGUGGUUUCAAGCUGUGCCUCAUUUUUGCUUUGAACGGCAUGGGUUCGAAACCAGCUACACCAUUUUACCUUGUUUUUUUUUUUUUUUCCUUUUUCGUUUUUUUUUCUAGUUUUUUUGUUUUCAUUUUUUUUUCCUUUUUCCGGUUUUUUUUGUCUUUUUAUAUCCUUUUUCGUUUUGUUUUUUUUUUUCUUCAGUUUUUUUUGCUUUUAUUUUUGCUUUUCGUUAGCUCCUUUAUUUUCUUCUAUUUUUCUGUUUAAUUUUUUAUUUUCAACACUUUUUUUUCUAUUUUCUUCAUUUUUUUUUAAUAUUACCUUUAUUCAUAUUAAUAGUUAUUUAAAUGUAUACAUUGUUUCACUGUAAAAAUUACUUUUGGUUACAAUAAGUUAUACUUUCUCUGAACCUAUUAUAUGUUAUCUUAAUUGAAGUUUUAUUAAUUAAAAUGUUUACAUUGUAUAAAUGUAAAUUUUACUUUUCUAUACAACAAAUAAUACAUUUACUGAAUGUAUGAUAUUUUGUUGU